rnacentral:rRNA from 1 species
AGCUUACACAUGCAGUCGAGCGGGGAGGGUAGCUUGCUACCUGACCUAGCGGCGGACGGGUGAGUAAUGCUUAGGAAUCUGCCUAUUAGUGGGGGACAACAUUCCGAAAGGAAUGCUAAUACCGCAUACGCCCUACGGGGGAAAGCAGGGGAUCUUCGGACCUUGCGCUAAUAGAUGAGCCUAAGUCAGAUUAGCUAGUUGGUGGGGUAAAGGCCUACCAAGGCGACGAUCUGUAGCGGGUCUGAGAGGAUGAUCCGCCACACUGGGACUGAGACACGGCCCAGACUCCUACGGGAGGCAGCAGUGGGGAACAUUGGACAAUGGGCGAAAGCCUGAUCCAGCCAUGCCGCGUGUGUGAAGAAGGCCUUUUGGUUGUAAAGCACUUUAAGCGAGGAGGAGGCUACUGAGAUUAAUACUCUUGGAUAGUGGACGUUACUCGCAGAAUAAGCACCGGCUAACUCUGUGCCAGCAGCCGCGGUAAUACAGAGGGUGCGAGCGUUAAUCGGAUUUACUGGGCGUAAAGCGUGCGUAGGCGGCUUUUUAAGUCGGAUGUGAAAUCCCUGAGCUUAACUUAGGAAUUGCAUUCGAUACUGGGAAGCUAGAGUAUGGGAGAGGAUGGUAGAAUUCCAGGUGUAGCGGUGAAAUGCGUAGAGAUCUGGAGGAAUACCGAUGGCGAACGCAGCCAUCUGGCCUAAUACUGACGCUGAGGCACGAAAGCAUGGGGAGCAAACAGGAUUAGAUACCCUGGUAGUCCAUGCCGUAAACGAUGUCUACUAGCCGUUGGGGCCUUUGAGGCUUUAGUGGCGCAGCUAACGCGAUAGUAGACGCCUGGGGGAGUACGGUCGCAAGACUA